CACAGGUUGUGAACUCGAAGAGUAGGGCGGGACACGUGGUAUCCUGUCUGAAUAUGGGGGGACCAUCCUCCAAGGCUAAAUACUCCUGACUGACCGAUAGUGAACCAGUACCGUGAGGGAAAGGCGAAAAGAACCCCGGCGAGGGGAGUGAAAAAGAACCUGAAACCGUGUACGUACAAGCAGUAGGAGCCCACUAGUUGGGUGACUGCGUACCUUUUGUAUAAUGGGUCAGCGACUUAUAUUCUGUAGCAAGGUUAACCGUAUAGGGGAGCCGCAGGGAAACCGAGUCUUAACUGGGCGUUAAGUUGCAGGGUAUAGACCCGAAACCCGGUGAUCUAGCCAUGGGCAGGUUGAAGGUUGGGUAACACUAACUGGAGGACCGAACCGACUAAUGUUGAAAAAUUAGCGGAUGACUUGUGGCUGGGGGUGAAAGGCCAAUCAAACCGGGAGAUAGCUGGUUCUCCCCGAAAGCUAUUUAGGUAGCGCCUCGUGAACUCAUCUUCGGGGGUAGAGCACUGUUUCGGCUAGGGGGUCAUCCCGACUUACCAACCCGAUGCAAACUACGAAUACCGAAGAAUGUUAUCACGGGAGACACACGGCGGGUGCUAACGUCCGUCGUGAAGAGGGAAACAACCCAGACCGCCAGCUAAGGUCCCAAAGUCAUGGUUAAGUGGGAAACGAUGUGGGAAGGCCCAGACAGCCAGGAUGUUGGCUUAGAAGCAGCCAUCAUUUAAAGAAAGCGUAAUAGCUCACUGGUCGAGUCGGCCUGCGCGGAAGAUGUAACGGGGCUAAACCAUGCACCGAAGCUGCGGCAGCGACGCUUAUGCGUUGUUGGGUAGGGGAGCGUUCUGUAAGCCGUUGAAGGUGGCCUGUGAGGGUUGCUGGAGGUAUCAGAAGUGCGAAUGCUGACAUAAGUAACGAUAAUGCGGGUGAAAAACCCGCACGCCGGAAGACCAAGGGUUCCUGUCCAACGUUAAUCGGGGCAGGGUGAGUCGACCCCUAAGGCGAGGCCGAAAGGCGUAGUCGAUGGGAAACAGGUUAAUAUUCCUGUACUCGGUGUUACUGCGAAGGGGGGACGGAGAAGGCUAUGUUGGCCGGGCGACGGUUGUCCCGGUUUAAGCAUGUAGGCGGAUGUUCCAGGUAAAUCCGGAACGUUACUAACGCUGAGGUGUGAUGACGAGGCACUACGGUGCUGAAGUGACAAAUGCCCUGCUUCCAGGAAAAGCCUCUAAGCAUCAGGUAACAUCAAAUCGUACCCCAAACCGACACAGGUGGUCAGGUAGAGAAUACCAAGGCGCUUGAGAGAACUCGGGUGAAGGAACUAGGCAAAAUGGUGCCGUAACUUCGGGAGAAGGCACGCUGAUGGUAAGUGAAGUGACUUGCUCAUGGAGCUGAAAUCAGUCGAAGAUACCAGCUGGCUGCAACUGUUUAUUAAAAACACAGCACUGUGCAAACACGAAAGUGGACGUAUACGGUGUGACGCCUGCCCGGUGCCGGAAGGUUAAUUGAUGGGGUUAUCCGUAAGGAGAAGCUCUUGAUCGAAGCCCCGGUAAACGGCGGCCGUAACUAUAACGGUCCUAAGGUAGCGAAAUUCCUUGUCGGGUAAGUUCCGACCUGCACGAAUGGCGUAAUGAUGGCCAGGCUGUCUCCACCCGAGACUCAGUGAAAUUGAACUCGCUGUGAAGAUGCAGUGUACCCGCGGCAAGACGGAAAGACCCCGUGAACCUUUACUAUAGCUUGACACUGAACACUGGUCCUUGAUGUGUAGGAUAGGUGGGAGGCUUUGAAGUGUGGACGCCAGUCUGCAUGGAGCCAUCCUUGAAAUACCACCCUUUAAUGGCUGGUGUUCUAACGUGGGCCC
rnacentral:rRNA from 1 species